AGUCGAACGAGAGAGAAGGAGCUUGCUUCUUCGAUUGAGUGGCGAACGGGUGAGUAACGCGUGAGGAACCUGCCUCAAAGAGGGGGACAACAGUUGGAAACGACUGCUAAUACCGCAUAAGCCCACGGGUCGGCAUCGACCUGAGGGAAAAGGAGCAAUCCGCUUUGAGAUGGCCUCGCGUCCGAUUAGCUAGUUGGUGAGGUAACGGCCCACCAAGGCGACGAUCGGUAACCGGACUGAGAGGUUGAACGGCCACAUUGGGACUGAGACACGGCCCAGACUCCUACGGGAGGCAGCAGUGGGGAAUAUUGCACAAUGGGGGAAACCCUGAUGCAGCGACGCCGCGUGGAGGAAGAAGGUCUUCGGAUUGUAAACUCCUGUUGUUGAGGAAGAUAAUGACGGUACUCAACAAGGAAGUGACGGCUAACUACGUGCCAGCAGCCGCGGUAAAACGUAGGUCACAAGCGUUGUCCGGAAUUACUGGGUGUAAAGGGAGCGCAGGCGGGAAGACAAGUUGGAAGUGAAAUCUAUGGGCUCAACCCAUAAACUGCUUUCAAAACUGUUUUUCUUGAGUAGUGCAGAGGUAGGCGGAAUUCCCGGUGUAGCGGUGGAAUGCGUAGAUAUCGGGAGGAACACCAGUGGCGAAGGCGGCCUACUGGGCACCAACUGACGCUGAGGCUCGAAAGUGUGGGUAGCAAACAGGAUUAGAUACCCUGGUAGUCCACACCGUAAACGAUGAUUACUAGGUGUUGGAGGAUUGACCCCUUCAGUGCCGCAGUUAACACAAUAAGUAAUCCACCUGGGGAGUACGACCGCAAGGUUGAAACUCAAAGGAAUUGACGGGGGCC
rnacentral:rRNA from 1 species